rnacentral:rRNA from 1 species
UAUAGCAUUAUACCGUGAAACUGCGAAUGGCUCAUUAAAUCAGUUAUCGUUUAUUUGAUAGUACCUUACUACUUGGAUAACCGUGGUAAUUCUAGAGCUAAUACAUGCUGAAAACCCCAACUUCGGGAGGGGUGUAUUUAUUAGAUAAAAAACCAACGCCCUUCGGGGCUUCUUGGUGAUUCAUGAUAACUUCACGGAUCGCAUGGCCUUGCGCCGGCGACGGUUCAUUCAAAUUUCUGCCCUAUCAACUUUCGAUGGUAAGGUAUUGGCUUACCAUGGUUUCAACGGGUAACGGGGAAUUAGGGUUCGAUUCCGGAGAGGGAGCCUGAGAAACGGCUACCACAUCCAAGGAAGGCAGCAGGCGCGCAAAUUACCCAAUCCCGACACGGGGAGGUAGUGACAAUAAAUACUGAUACAGGGCUCUUUUGGGUCUUGUAAUUGGAAUGAGUACAAUUUAAACCUCUUAACGAGGAACAAUUGGAGGGCAAGUCUGGUGCCAGCAGCCGCGGUAAUUCCAGCUCCAAUAGCGUAUAUUAAAGUUGUUGCAGUUAAAAAGCUCGUAGUUGAAACUUGGGCCUGGCUGGCAGGUCCGCCUCACCGCGUGUACUUGUCCGGCCGGGCCUUUCCUUCUGGAGAACCUCAUGCCCUUCACUGGGUGUGCUGGGGAACCAGGACUUUUACUUUGAAAAAAUUAGAGUGUUCAAAGCAGGCCUUUGCUCGAAUACGUUAGCAUGGAAUAAUAGAAUAGGACGUGCGGUCCUAUUUUGUUGGUUUCUAGGACCGCCGUAAUGAUUAAUAGGGACAGUCGGGGGCAUCAGUAUUCAAUUGUCAGAGGUGAAAUUCUUGGAUUUAUUGAAGACUAACUACUGCGAAAGCAUUUGCCAAGGAUGUUUUCAUUAAUCAGUGAACGAAAGUUAGGGGAUCGAAGACGAUCAGAUACCGUCGUAGUCUUAACCGUAAACUAUGCCGACUAGGGAUCGGGCGAUGUUCUUUUUCUGACUCGCUCGGCACCUUACGAGAAAUCAAAGUU